AUGGCUCAUUUAUUUGCUGAGUGGGACUGGAGGCCCACAGCCGCAGAAGAUCCUGGCCCCACAGCAGCUAGAGAGUAAGCUCAGAGUGCUGUCAGUUCUCUCCUGCUGCCUCUCGCCAUGAUGGUGUAGUGGAAAAAUGGUCAACAAGGCUGUUUCCUACUGUGUCCUAAAUGCCCAUCAUGAGAAGUCCCAGGAACAAGAAGAUCAUGGGUGAGGCAGCUGCUCAGAAACAAAUGUCUUUCAACAGUUACCCCCAGGCAUGGGUGAUACAUCCUCUUCGCAGACUUCAGAAAAACAGCAGAUUUGUGAUUUAACUGGGAGUUUUCUGGGAUCAAACAGUGGCUUCGUUUACAGGUAGGUUGCCGAGCGGCCAUGAUAACUGAUGGAGCAGUCACUAUGGUGGUCAGUAGGACUGAGUGAGAAGGGUGCCCUGGGAGCCUGGAAGCCUGGGAGACAGCAGGGCCGCAGUCGUCCAUUUCCCACCCAGUUUUUCCUGUCUCUCAGGGACCCCUGGCAGUUGCUCAGCUGGUGCUAAAUUGAGAAGCAGCCUGUGAACAUGAAGGGUAUAUGGCAGAGGAUCCCAAUUUGGCUUCUGCAAGAAGUAGAACAAUGAGCUACCUGGGGAGGCCCUGUGCCUCCGACUCUUGCUGCUCCUUGGAGCUUCGGGUCUCCGAGAAUAAACACCCAGUGUACUCUGGGGACCUAACCGCUAAUCCCAGGAGCUGAGCUAAAGAGAAAUAGUGUGUUUUGCUUGUUUCAUCAAGCUGAAGUCUGGGUCACCUGAUCCAGGCUUAUUUUCUGCUCCUCUGCAACUUCUGCCUGAGGGGACAGGCAGUCGCAGCCUAUACACAGCCUGGGCACAGCCCUCCAGGUCCUACUGGGACCAGAAAUUCCUUCUGGCUUUAGACUCCUCAUCCUGGUGCUUCUUGCCUGAGCCCUUUGGGAAAGGCACCCUGUAGAUGAGAAUUGCUGACAGUUUGAGGGAGUGAAAACGUGCAGGAAGGCAGAGGAUGUUCCCGUUGCGUUUAAGGUCAGCUGUGUUUGGAGAGGAUUCAAAAUGCAAGCGUACUAAUACAGUCACUGGAGGCCAAGUUAAUUUAUUGCCUCCUGGUUACAGCAUCAGUCCCGCCCCUUAGAACGAGUUGAAUUUUGGAGUCUAGUGGCCAGGCAGAAUCCUAUGGAACCUUCUCCAGCAUCCUCUUCAUGGUCAAUCUCAAGGUCACUCAGGGAUUGUCUUAACUAGUAAUAAUAAAAGAAGCCAGCACUUAGAGAGUUUCUUGCUUAGUACUCUACGAAAUGCUUUACAUAUGAUAUCUGAAAUAAUCCUCACAAGAACCCUAUAAAGAAAGGAUUAUUGCUGCCUCCAUUCUAUAAAUGAGAAAACUAAGGUUCAGAAAGGUCAAGUAACCCCAAGUCACAGAGCUGGUAAGUCGCACGAAUAAAAACUCAGAUUUGGGCAGGCUUACGUGUACACGCUCCCUGUGAGGGAUCCUGCCACCUGCCAGCCUAGCCACAACCAAAGGAAAAUAAUAGCUCAACCCUUCAUCAAUGCAAGGCACUUUGCUAAGGUGUUUGCUUGCAUUAUUCUAACUCUUGAAUGAGGAAACUGAAUCAGAGAGAUUCAUUCAUUUCCCCAAAGUCACACAGCUAGUGUGACAGAGGCUAUUUUCCUCUAAAAUCUAAUUUCUCCUUCUUGUACAGUAAUAGACCCUCAUUUUUAGCUGAGCAUGUGGCCUUCUGGAGUUAUGACUACAUUCUCCAGACUGUUGAAGCUAGGUGUCCUUGUGACUAAAUCGUGGGCAAUAGGAUAUAAGCAAAAGCGGAAUGCGUGGCUUCCUGGAACUCUCAGCAUUCUCUCCGCUGCUGAAAUGCAGACAUGACAGCUUGAGCCAGAGGGUGCCAGCCAGUGUCAUGAUGUGAUCAAGGCCAUCAACAGCAGAGCCGCAGGGGAGCAGGAGCCUUGGUCCCUGAGGUCACGCUGGAGCUAACUUGGGAAUCUUGAGUUGGCCACCUCCAAAAUUUUACAUGAAAGAGAAAAGUAAACAUCUAACUUGCUUAAGCUGCUAUUGUUUUGGGGUUUGUCAUUUAUAGCCAAACCUAAUCCUCAUUAACAUAGUGGUGGAACUGGAAUUUGAACCAGUUUGCUCCCAAGACCAAA